UUUUCCCGCCUCUCUUUGUCCCAGACGGCCCACACCGGCUGCCCUCUGCCUCUUCUCCCCCUUUCCCACAGCUGUAUCAGUCCCGAAGUUAUAAGACAGCAAUGCAUCUCUUCCAGAACUUCAUCUACAGUUCCUCUCUACUGAAAUGUGUGAUAUUUUUUCUCCAAAUGUGAUGUGGCUUGCACCUCCACUAAUAAGAAAUAAAUACAGGAUGAUAAUUUAAGAGAACAUUCCUGCAAAGGAUCCUUUAUCUGACGGAGAUAUCUUGUUUUCUAGCAAUAUGAAGGCAGAACAAACUGUUAUCAGAUCUUCUGGCUACUAGUGAAUGACAUUUGCAAUCUAACAACAACACAGUGAAGCUAGGACUAGUGACCUUUGUGUUAGCCACUACCAUACAGAGACAACAGCUUCUGUUCCUAGGGGCUCAUGAUACAGGGAAACGGAGUCUCAAAGAAUGCAGAUUUACUGGUCUGUAGCAGCUAAAUAGUAAUGGAGAAAAAGAAACAAAACUGAGCCUCUCCUUUUGGGUUCCCUGGUUGUAGCUGAGAGAGAGAUUCUGAAGUAAAUACAAUCAAUUUCCACUGGCUGGAGAAAAUUCCUCAUUUCACAGAGGUCAGGUUGCAUACUCUUCAUUUCAUAAUGGAUUCCAUGCAUGCUAUCAGAACUUAUUUCCAUUGGAGUUUGUUUCAAAGACACUUAUUUAAGGAAUUUCCUCUUAAUCACUUUCUAAAAGUUGACAUUGAUUUCAAAGUGAAGGAAGAUAAAUCUUGCUAUGAAAAUAAAAGAGUAUUUUCUAAUUUUCCCCUACUUAAGCCAAACAUAAGGACAUGCUCUGCAGUGUAGCUCUGCAGGUACUGAGCCAAAAACCACCUCAUACAACAGCUUGGUCACUGAGUGUACACAGGCACCUAGAACAAACAAUGGAAGGAAAUUCAGCUCUCAGGUGACGGAAAGCUCCGACAUAUGAAAUCCAAGGCAUGCAUUAUUUAUUUCCACAUUAAGCAUGAUACUGAAGAUGGAUGAAUGGUGGUACAGUGCCUCUAUGUCAUGUUUAUAGCCAGGAAAUAAAAACUAUUUAUAAAAUCUAAAUAAGCCAACCUAUUUUUGGUCCAACAUGAGAAAUUUCUGUAUGAAAAACAGUGCAACACAACAUACUUUUGUUGUCCUCUGUUGCUCUCAGAAGAAGCAAAACCAGGAUGAAUAUUGUUGCUCUGUUUGUUAGGAAACAGUACUGCUUGAACUGAAAUAACUCUGAAGAACAUAAAUAAAUAAAUAAAUAA